AUCCAUGCAGACACCAUAUGUAAGGGAUUUGUCUAGUUUUGGUCGGUUUCAGUUUCGCCAGCAGCACCAUGUCCUGGGUGACCACCAUGACCUGGUUUACCGUGUCCGUGACCGUGGCCGUGUCCGUAGCCGUGGCCAUACCCGUGGCCACCAUACUUGGCAUCCUCCACA